GAUGAACGCUGACAGAAUGCUUAACACAUGCAAGUCAACUUGAACUUCGGUUUGGGUGGCGGACGGGUGAGUAACGCGUAAAGAACUUGCCUCACAGAUAGGGACAACAUUUGGAAACGAAUGCUAAUACCUGAUAUUAUGAUUUUAGGGCAUCCUAGGAUUAUGAAAGCUAUAUACACUGUGAGAGAGCUUUGCGUCCCAUUAGCUAGUUGGAGAGGUAACGGCUCACCAAGGCGAUGAUGGGUAGCCGGCCUGAGAGGGUGAUCGGCCACAAGGGGACUGAGACACGGCCCUUACUCCUACGGGAGGCAGCAGUGGGGAAUAUUGGACAAUGGACCAAGAGUCUGAUCCAGCAAUUCUGUGUGCACGAUGAAGUUUUUCGGAAUGUAAAGUGCUUUCAGUUGGGAAGAAAAAAAUGACGGUACCAACAGAAGAAGUGACGGCUAAAUACGUGCCAGCAGCCGCGGUAAUACGUAUGUCACAAGCGUUAUCCGGAUUUAUUGGGCGUAAAGCGCGUCUAGGUGGUUAUGUAAGUCUGAUGUGAAAAUGCAGGGCUCAACUCUGUAUUGCGUUGGAAACUGUGUAACUAGAGUACUGGAGAGGUAAGCGGAACUACAAGUGUAGAGGUGAAAUUCGUAGAUAUUUGUAGGAAUGCCGAUGGGGAAGCCAGCUUACUGGACAGAUACUGACGCUGAAGCGCGAAAGCGUGGGUAGCAAACAGG
rnacentral:rRNA from 1 species